rnacentral:rRNA from 1 species
GAUGAACGCUGGCGGCGUGCUUAACACAUGCAAGUCGAACGGAAAGGCCCAAGCUUGCUUGGGUACUCGAGUGGCGAACGGGUGAGUAACACGUGGGUGAUCUGCCCUGCACUUCGGGAUAAGCCUGGGAAACUGGGUCUAAUACCGGAUAGGACGAUGGUUUGGAUGCCAUUGUGGAAAGUUUUUUCGGUGUGGGAUGAGCUCGCGGCCUAUCAGCUUGUUGGUGGGGUAAUGGCCUACCAAGGCGUCGACGGGUAGCCGGCCUGAGAGGGUGUACGGCGACAUUGGGACGGAGAUACGGCCCAGACUCCUACGGGAGGCAGCAGUGGGGAAUAUUGCACAAUGGGCGCAAGCCUGAUGCAGCGACGCCGCGUGGGGGAUGACGGCCUUCGGGUUGUAAACUCCUUUCGCUAGGGACGAAGCGUUUUUGUGACGGUACCUGGAGAAGAAGCACCGGCUAACUACGUG